GACAGAGGGGGCAAGCGUUGCUCGGAAUUACUGGGCGUAAAGGGCGCGUAGGCGGGAUGGCAAGUCGGUCGUGAAAUCCCUCGGCUCAACCGAGGAACGUCGAUCGAUACUGCUGUUCUUGAGGAUUGCAGAGGAGACUGGAAUUCCCGGUGUAGCGGUGAAAUGUGUAGAGAUCGGGAGGAACACCGGUGGCGAAGGCGGGUCUCUGGGCAAUCCCUGACGCUGAGGCGCGAAAGCGUGGGGAGCGAACAGG
rnacentral:rRNA from 1 species